UACGAACUGUGCAAACGUUAUUCGGAUUCACUGGGCUUAAAGGGUGCGUAGGCGGCCAUGUAAGUAGGGUGUGAAAUCCCCCGGCUUAACCGGGGAACUGCGCCCGAAACUGUGUGGCUUGAGUGAGAUAGGGGUGUGUGGAACUUCCGGUGGAGCGGUGAAAUGUGUUGAUAUCGGAAGGAACGCCGGUGGCGAAAGCGACACACUGGGUCUCAACUGACGCUGAGGCACGAAAGCCAGGGGAGCGAACGGG
rnacentral:rRNA from 1 species